CCGAUUGACUAUGAUGAUGUGGUCUCCCAUAUGCAAAAUGGCCUCCAUCUUUAUUACAAUCCAAUUUUUUAAUCUAUUCUUGGUCGUGCGGAGCCAAUCUCGUAAAGUGAUCUCUACUCUCAACUUUUGUCAUAUGAUC